AACUAACGCUAUUAUUGAUACAGUUUCUGUACUAUAUUGGUAUGAGAAGCUUUCAGGGCCUUCUUGGUCCUGGAAAUUUUGGAAUCAAGCCUUCGGGUUU
rnacentral:misc_RNA from 1 species